rnacentral:lncRNA from 1 species
CAAGAUUGGGUUGGCCCGAAGUGGAGUUUGGCCCGAGCAAGAGCCCGAGGGCGGUGACGUUAUGGCUAACGCCAGGAUGGCGUCAACCCUUCAGCUUUCAAUUUUUUUUUACCGUUAGCACGUGUAUUGCACGCGCCAACGUUAAAAAAAAUUUGAAACGACGUGCUACAGUAGCUGCCAACGGCUACCUUACACGUGUCGGCCUAUUGGCUCUCCGAUUCGAUUUUUUCCUUCAAUCCAACGGCAGCCAAUUUUUCUGCAAUAAAAAAAAAGAAAAAAAAUGUUAAAAAUUACUGAAUUUUUUUUGUAUAAAUACCAACCAAUACUCUUCACUUUUAACACCAAAUCCUCUUACAUUUUC